rnacentral:tRNA from 1 species
AGUAAAGUCAGCUAAAUAAGCUAUUGGGCCCAUACCCCAAAAAUGCCACCACGGCCUUUACUA